rnacentral:rRNA from 1 species
GAGUUUGAUUAUGGCUCAGGAUGAACGCUAGCGAUAGGCUUAACACAUGCAAGUCGAGGGGCAUCACGGGAUUAGCUUGCUAAUCUUGGUGGCGACCGGCGUAAGGGUGCGUAACGCGUAUGCAACUUGCCUGUCAGUGGGGAGUAACCCGGAGAAAUCCGGACUAAUACCGCAUACACUUUGGUUUCCGCAUGGGGGCUUUAGGAAAGAUUUAUUGCUGACAGAUAGGCAUGCGUUCCAUUAGAUAGUUGGUGAGGUAACGGCUCACCAAGUCGACGAUGGAUAGGGGAGCUGAGAGGCUUAUCCCCCACACUGGAACUGAGACACGGUCCAGACUCCUACGGGAGGCAGCAGUGAGGAAUAUUGGUCAAUGGGCGAGAGCCUGAACCAGCCAAGUCGCGUGAAGGAAGACGGUCCUAUGGAUUGUAAACUUCUUUAGUAGGUGAGUACAAGCAGUUACGUGUAGCUGUAAGCAA